rnacentral:rRNA from 1 species
UACGUAGGGGGCAAGCGUUGUCCGGAUUUAUUGGGCGUAAAGAGCGUGUAGGCGGCUAGGUAGGUCCGUUGUGAAAACUCGAGGCUCAACCUCUAGACGUCGACGGAAACCGUGUGGCUAGAGUCCGGAAGAGGAGAGUGGAAUUCCUGGUGUAGCGGUGAAAUGCGCAGAUAUCAGGAAGAACACCAAUGGCGAAGGCAGCUCUCUGGGACGGUACUGACGCUGAGACGCGAAAGCGUGGGGAGCAAACAGG